ensembl:lncRNA
GAUGCAGUUACGCCUUAAAAACAUGUGCUGAGGGGAGGAAGCCUGUCACAGAGGACCCCACUUCGUAUGACUCUAUUUACAGUGUCCAGAACUGGCAGAAAUGCAGGAACUGGAAGCCAAAGAGGAGAGAAUAGUUGAGCUGGAAACGGAGAACGCUCUUCUUCACCUGAAACUGGCGGAGAUUUGUCCUUCGCUUUGACACAUGGGGAACGCUGGCGGAUCCUGCUUUGCUUAUUCCUACGUGACUGGCUGUGGCCACCUUUGGUCAGCUGGAAAGUGGCCCCCAGAGAUGUCCAUUCCCUCCUAAUUCUGGAUGCUGUGGACGUGACCUUGACCAGGGAUAAGACCUCUGCAGACGGGAUUGGAUUUGGGGUGGGGCCUUGUAGGACGGAGGCAGCGGUGACAGAGGACAAAGGAGGGAAAUGCGGAAGACUCAAGAAGAGGGGCCUGACGACAUCAGGACCAGUGGAGGGGAGGGUCCCCCGGGCCUCGCAGGGCGCGCAGCUCUGCCCUGGGUCUUGGAAGGCUGGCCUCAGGACGGGAGGAAAACGUUGGCGCAGUCCAGCCU